UGUACAUAUGUUUUGAUAUUGAAAUAUAAUGAUUAAGAUUCACCAUUUUUUUUUUAAAUUCACUCUUCAUCUUUUUAUAUGUCAUACGAUCUUUCAGACUUUAAGUAUAUUAAUAAGAUUUGUUUACAGGAUGGUUGGAGCUUCAGCACUCUAACUCGAGACCUGUCAUGAGGAACAGGGAUGUACUUGGAGGGGCGGGAAGGGGACCAAAGGGUAGAAUUUGUUCAGAGGGGUUUCUUAGUUUUGGAAAGGGGAAAGCCGUUAGUUUGGGUUUUGGUGUUUGGUUAUGCACUUUUCACAGACAAAGGUAAUCAAUGUUAAUUGGUUCAGGAGUUAUAAUACAGAAAAAUAUACUAAAUUAGAUUGUCAUUGGUCAUAAUAUGAUCAAAAUUUCUUCUUGGAAUGUUAAUGGUUUGGGCUCAUAUAUAAAAAGGCGAAAAGUUCUAAACUAUCUUAAGCAAAGGGGUUCAGAUGUGAUCAUGCUUAAAGAGACACAUCUUUUGGAAAAAGAAACACCUAGAAUUCAUGACAGAUGGAUUAAAUGUGCUUAUCAUAAUAAUUUUACUCAAAAAAGCGGGGUGUUUCCAUAUUGUUCUCAAAAAAGACCAAUAUUAUAGUGGAAAAAGAAUAUAGAGAUAAAGAGGGAAGAAUUCUUAUACUUUUAGUGAAUCUGGCAGACAAAAUGUAAUCCUAGGCAACCUGUAUGCUCCUAACACAGAAGACCCAGACUUCUUUCUACAACUAAAAAAGAUUAUAUUAGAUUUUGGUAAUUUCCCAGUGAUUCUAGGAGGGGAUUAUAACCAAAUUCUUGACGUGUUCCUAGACUGAUCUGGCCAGGGUAUUACCAGACCGUCCAAGACGCAGGAAGCUAUGAAAACACUUUGCAAAGACACAGGGCUACAUGAUGUCUGGAGAUUGUUAAAUCCAGAUACCAGAGACUACACGUUCUUUUCACACAGACAUUCAGUUCAUUCUCGUAUUGAUUAUUAUCUGAUUUCACAUGCCCUGAUUGAAAAUACGGUCACCUGCAGUAUAGACACAACAGCCAUGACAGACCGUGCUCCUGUUGACCUAGUGUUACCUCUGGUGAGACUCAAGAAAGAUCGAAAGGAUGGCAAAUGAAUACAAGUGUAUUACAGAAUGAGAAUAAAACAUUAAAACAUUCUUUGAAAUAAAUAAUGGAAUAUUGUAUGGGAUGUUUUCAAAGCCUACAUACGGGUGUCUUCAUACAACAAACAGCUUUAAUAAAGAAACAGGACAGGAUAAAAUUGACUCAAUAUGAGGAAGACAUUAAAAGAUAGAAAGUAAAUUUAGGCAAAAUCCAAAUAACACCUGCCUGGCCAACCUAAUGAAAAUUAAAUACAAACUAAAUAAUAUAUACACAAAAAAAGCAGAAUAUUCUCUUCAUAGACAAAAAUGGUAGGAAUCUGGUGAAAAAGCAAGCCAGCUAUUAGUCAGUCAGCUGAACGCUAGAGAAGCUGCUCACCAAAUAGGAGCAAUUAGAAAUAAAACUGGAGCACUGGUUACUAACCACAAAGAAAUGAACCCGGUAUUUAAACAGGUCUAUGAAGAACUCUACAGGGCAGAGGGUGAACCAGACCUAAGUACAGCAAAAACAUUCUUUGAACAUUUAAAUCUCCCUAAAUUGUCAGAAGAAGAUAUGAAAUACCUGGAACACCCAAUAACACUUGAAGAGGUGAAUAAAAUAAUACAACCCUUACCCUCAGGAAAAAGCCCAGGUACAGAUGGGAUUCCAAAUGAAUUUUACAAGUUUGCAGACGAUCUUAGCUCUGAAUUACUAAAAACAUUUAGCUCAGCCAUUAAUAAGGCACAGCUUCCAUUUUCUAUGACAGAAUCAAUAAUCACACUUAUACUGAAAAAAGGAAAAGACCUCCUGGAGUGUGGAAGUUAUCGGCCAAUCAGUCUACUAUGCUGGGAUGAAAAGCUGUGGACAAAAAUCUUUGCACUUAGAAUGAAUAAUGUAAUAACUUUGUGAAGGGCAGGACCUCCUCAGAUAGUUUCAGACGCUUACUUCAUUUAAUGUGGAAGGUCAAAGACUGGGACACUCCACUCUACUUUGUCCCUAGAUGCAAACCAGGCAUUUGAUCGGGUUAGCUGGAGUUACCUCAGCUUUGCCUUACAAGAAUUUGGUUUUGGUUUAGGAUUCCAGAACAUUAUCAAGCUCAUUUACAAUCAGCCUAAAUCUGAGGUAACAACUAAUGGUCUGAGGUCAGACUCCUUUGCAGUGAGGGACAAACCAGGGAGACCCACUCUCACCCCUCUUGUUUAUCAUAGAACCCCUUGCAAAAGCUGUAAGAUCAAACAAAUCAAUCACAGGAAUAACAAUGGGGGGGCAAGAAAACAAAUGAUCAACUUUUGCAGACGAUAUAUUGGUCAUGAUAUCAGAUCCUCAGAAAUCAAUACCUACAAUUUUAGAAACUAUCAGCUCGUUCUCUUCUAUAUCAGCAUAUAUGAUCAACUGGAACAAGUCUGAAGUGAUGCCACGCUCUAGAAGUUGUUAGAAAAGCAGUUUCCUUAAAUGGAAAUUCGAAUGGGUAGCUAAAAACCUAAAAUACCUUGGAAUAUGUUUGAAUCCGGGACUAGAGAACAUAAUAUUUGAUCAUUUCAACCCAGUCUGGGCUAAAAUAGAAAUCUUACUCAAGAGUUGGGAUAAAUUACAGUUAUCAUUAUGGGGAAGAAUACAAGCUAUAAAAAUGGUGGUAACCCCAAAAUUGAAUUGUCUCUUAAACAUGAUACCUAUAAAUAUACCAACGGCUCUUUUUAAAACCAUAGACAAAAUGUUCAAUCAAUUUAUCUGGGCUGGGAAAAGGGCGAGGAUGAAAAUAACAAGGCGACAAGCUAAAGUAGAAUACGGGGGUCUGAGUCUUCCUAAUAUGAAGCUCUACCAAGAAUCAUUUAUAGCGGCUCAAAUAACAUCAUUACUCUCAUUCAGAAAGGACAGACCUGUGUGGGUGGACCUAGAAGAAGAAUUAAUUGCUCCAUUUAAAGCAGCAGAUUACCUGAGUCAUAGUUCAAAAUCUCAAGAUGAAAAUCCAAUAAUUUCAUUGGCACCGCAUACAUAAGAAGGAAGGCAUGUUUCCUUACAGGUUCAUCAUCUAUAUGGAAUAACCCCUGAUUAAAAAUAGGGGGAAAGGUGUUGUUCUGGAGAGAAUGGCAUACCAAAGGAAUCAAUCAUAUUCAAUGUCUUUACCACAACAAAACCUUUAAAUCAUUUGAAGAGUUAAAAGAAACAUAUAACAUACACAAUAAAGACUCCUGGAAAUAUUUACAACUCAGGGAUUGCACAGAUGCAGCUAAACCAGCCCCCUUUGGAUUAGCCUGCAACAUCCUGGACUUCGCUUUCCAUGCCUGACAAUCUGCUUUAAUGUGCCCACGUCUCUGACAAUAGUGACAAAUCUGAUCACAAUCACAUGCAGCAGCACCUUUAAACUCCAGCCGUCUUGUAGUAUUAGACCGAUCAAAGCCCUCGCUCCGCGCGUCUCUUUGCCUACCAGAACCAAUAUACUGGCCAGAACCCAUAUUGUGAAAAUAGUCUUUAUGAGUUAGUUCGUACUCGUCUGCCAAUACCGCUGCAUCCGACACCUUCAUAGCCUUUUGUUCGUUAAUAUAAGUUGCAAUCUUCUCCGGUUAACAGUUUUUUAAUUCCUCCAUCAAAAUCAAUUCCCGUAACUGGUCAAACUUUUUAACAUUCUGCGCAGCGCACCACCGGUCAAACAAUGCAGCUUUAUCUCGUCCAAAUUCCACAUAAUUCUGUCUCUCAGUUUUCCUACCACGGCGAAAUUUUUGCCAGUACACUUCUGGCACAAGCUCAUGCGCGCUUUCCACUGCACUCUUGACUUUAUCAUAGUUUAAACCAUCCUCAGGUGAAAGUGAGGCAUAAGCUUCUUGCGCCCUGCCUGUCAAUACACACUGCAAAAGCAACGGCCACAGAUUCUUCGGCCAACUGAGUGUCGUUGCCACACACUCAAAUAAAACAAAAUACUUAUCCACGUCUCUCUCUGUAAACGGGGGAAUUAAACGAAUACACUUACUAACAUCAAAAUCUGACUGUACCGGACAGCUGCUCGGCUGACUGACCACCUACGUUGCCUCACGUCUCGCCGCUGCUUCCAUUUCUAAUGUACACAGUUCAAAAUCGAUCUCUAAACGACGCAUAGCCAGCUUCAACUCCAUCUUACGCACCUCAGCAUCGGGUGCUCCAGCCCCGGCCUCAGCGGUCAACGCCACAACAGGGGGUAAAAUGCUUUUCUCAGCCAACGCGGAAUGAAUUUGAUGUUUGAUAUUUGCCUUUUUAUCCUGCUUUACCACAGGUAUUCCAAACGCACAGCAAUAGACAUCAGAUUAUUUUUAGUACUAUCAUCAAGCUUCUCAAACGUGGGAUCAGCCACAAAAUCCUAUACACUGAACUCCGUCCUUGACCAAAUACGCAAAAAGUACAGUACGGGAAAACACACGGUGAAAUAAAGUGCCCAGCCCAGCCAUGUGGGCUGCACCCCAACAGCCACAGAGUCAGUGUGAGGAGAGAGAGAGCCCCUGCCCCCAAUGCCCAGGCAGCCCGUACUGUCCAGCUCAACAGCGGAAGCCAGCUUUUAUCCUCGAGAACCGGAAGUCAAGCUGGACCCUUAACCGUCCUUGGUCACCUCCUGUUGUCAGCUCUUUAAAGACAAGACAAACAUUAGGAUCACCACACUGGCAACAGGAUGGGGGUCGUCACACCUGGACAGGUAACAGUCCAUCACAGGUUCACUUGGACAGGUAACAGCCUAUCACAGGUUGACUUGGACAGGUAACAGUCCAUCACAGGUUGACUUGGACAGGUAACAGUCCAUCACAGGUUGACUUGGACAGGUAACAGUCCAUCACAGGUUGACUUGGACAGGUAACAGUCCAUCACAGGUUGACUUGGACAGGUAACAGUCCAUCACAGGUUGACUUGGACAGGUAACAGUCCAUCACAGGUUGACUUGGACAGGUAACAGUCCAUCACAGGUUGACUUGGACAGGUAACAGUCCAUCACAGGUUCACUUGGACAGGUAACAGUCUGUCAGAUGACCAGAUUCACAUUCACACCUACAGACAGUUUAGAACCAGCAGGUAGCCUCAGCAGGUCUUUGGAGAACCUGGUGAGAACCCAGCAGGAGAACAUGGAACCUCCACUCAGAAAGAUUCUGUUUCUAACAAACGACGCUGACAAGAAUUCCUGAAGCUGCUCAGUGUUCCUGAUUGAUUAGAAGACCUGGAACAGUUUGUUCUCUGAUAACUCCAUCCUGUCUCCACGGAAACAGGCUCUGAUUUAUGGUUUCCUUGAUGUUCCUGACACUGCGUCACGUUUUUAUCUGCUUUUCUUUCUGAGACAAAGAGUCUGUGGCGAGUGAAGGUCGGAGACUUUUUAUCCAGCAGCUAAAAAUAUGAAGGAUGAGGAAGAACCGACAGGAACCAGAAGAUUAGAGCCAAGAGUCUGCUCAGCAACGACCAGAACACAAACAUCUCACAGCAGAACCACACUGGGAUGUUCCUGUGACCAGAUGGUUAUUGAUCAGUCUGGUUAUUGAUCAGAUGGUUAUUGAUCAGUCUGGUUAUUGAUCAGUCUGGUUAUUGAUCAGAUGGUUAUUGAUCAGUCUGGUUAUUGAUCAGUCUGGUUAUUGAUCAGAUGGUUAUUGAUCAAUCUGGUUGUUGAUCAGUCUGGUUAUUGAUCAGAUGGUCAUUGAUCAGUCUGGUUAUUGAUCAGUCUGGUUAUUGAUCAGAUGGUUAUUGAUCAGUCUGGUUAUUGAUCAGUCUGGUUAUUGAUCAGAUGGUUAUUGAUCAGUCUGGUUACUGAUCAGAUGCUUAUUGAUCAAUCUGGUUGUUGAUCAGUCUGGUUAUUGAUCAGAUGUUGUUGAUCAGUCUGGUUAUUGAUCAGAUGUUAGUGAUCAAUCUGGUUAUUGAUCAGAUGGUCAUUGAUCAGAUGGUUAUUGAUCAGUCUGGUUAUUGAUCAGAUGUUAUUGAUCAAUCUGUUAUUGAUCAGAUGGUCAUUGAUCAGUCUGGUUAUUGAUCAGUUUGGUUAUUGAUCAGAUGGUUAUUGAUCAGUCUGGUUAUUCAUCAGUCUGGUUACGGAUCAGUCUGAUUACUGAUCAGUCUGAUUACUGAUCAGUCUGGUUAUUGAUCCAUCUGGUUACUGAUCAAUCUGGUUAUUGAUCAGUCUGGUUAUUGAUCCAUCUGGUUACUGAUCAGUCUGAUUACUGAUCAGUCUGGUUAUUGAUCCAUCUGGUUACUGAUAAAUCUGGUUACUGAUCAGUCUGAUUACUGAUCAGUCUGGUUAUUGAUUCAUCUGGUUACUGAUCAAUCUGGUUAUUGAUCAGUCUGGUUAUUGAUCCAUCUGGUUACUGAUCAGUCUGAUUACUGAUCAGUCUGGUUAUUGAUUCAUCUGGUUACUGAUAAAUCUGGUUAUUGAUCAGUCUGGUUACUGAUCAGUCUGAUUACUGAUCAGAUGGUUAUUGAUCAGUCUGGUUACUGAUCAGUCUGGUUAUUGAUCAGUCUGGUUAUUGAUCAGAUGGUUAUUGAUCCAUCUGGUUACUGAUCAGUCUGAUUACUGAUCAGAUGGUUAUUGAUCAGUCUGGUUGUUGAUCAGAUGUUAUUGAUCCAUCUUGUUAUUGAUCAGUCUGGUUAUUGAUCAGAUUCUUACUGAUAAGUCUGAUUAUUGAUCAGAUGGUUAUUGAUCAAUCUGGUUAUUGAUGAGAUGGUCAUUGAUCAGUCUGGUUACUGAUCAGUCUGGUUAUUGAUCAGUCUGGUUAUUGAUCAGUCUGGUUGUUGAUCAGAUGUUAUUGAUCCAUCUUGUUAUUGAUCAGUCUGGUUAUUGAUCAGAUUCUUACUGAUAAGUCUGAUUAUUGAUCAGAUGGUUAUUGAUCAAUCUGGUUAUUGAUGAGAUGGUCAUUGAUCAGUCUGGUUACUGAUCAGUCUGGUUAUUGAUCAGUCUGGUUAUUGAUCAGUCUGGUUAUUGAUCAGAUGGUCAUUGAUCAGUCUGGUUAUUGAUCAGAUGGUUAUUGAUCCAGAUGGUUAUUGAUCAGUCUGGUUACUGAUCAAUCUGGUUAUUGAUCAGUCUGGUUACUGAUCAGUCUGGUUACUUCUGUUAAAGAAUGUCCUGCCAGAUCUUGUCCUAGAAUCUGUUCUACCUGAACUACACCUGUGUGACAGGAAGUGAGGCUGGGUUUCAGAACAGAUCCGUCUGAUCUGAGAUUGACUGAACGUCGUGCUGAAGAACUUCUCAUGAAGAUGAAGUCAGAUGUUAGCAGACACACAUCAGAAACCUUCAGCUCUAACAUGAAGAAUCAAAUCUUUUCCUUUCAUUGAGUUCUUUGGACAGAUUUAAACUUCUGUUCUUUGGAAUAUUUCCUGCUGACAAAGCACAUCAUCUGAUGGUCGUUUUUCAUUUUCUGCACUUUACUCAACUUAAAAUGAGUUUGUCAUUUUCCUAAUUCACUGUUUUUGUUUCACUUUUAUUCCUUUUUGUUCUGAAUGUUUUCAUGUCGAUAAACACGGUGAGUUAUUUCCACCAACUAGAGAACCACAUCUAAGAUUCUUUCUCCAGAUUUUUAUGAUUGGUGACACUAAGGAUUUGAUGAGAUGGAGAUUUUUCUGUCCAGGCAUCAUUGACAGACGGCGAGGCGUUCACUGACCCACUGCAAAUGUUUACAGCAGCGCUGCAUCCACUGUAAUCAAACGUUAGAGAUGAAGAGCUGCCUGUUUACUUUAACCUGCAUUUAGCUCAAACAGCUGCAGCACUUUUCUCUUGGUCUGACUCACAGUUUCCUUCAGGUGUUUAGACUUCAGCAGGUCCAGACUGUGUGAAGGUCAGUGAAGGUAACACAGUCAGCAGCUGGAUUAAAUGUUCUUUCUUCCUGUGAGUCUCUCAGUGUUGACCAGCAGCAGGCUGUUGUUUUAUUUCAGGUCAUUUUCAGGUUUAUUGUGAACAAAUUCAAGCUCCCAGCUGCUGUUUGACAGAAAUGAUCAGAGAACUUCAGGUCCAGUCCGCUGAUCUUUUUCAGUGUCACAAGUUUUGGGGUCUGCAUUGUGUGGACACAUAAAUGACUCCAUAAAUAUAUUUUAUUAUUAAUUAUUGCUGUUGCCACUGGGUGUGUCUUUGUCUGAGCUUCCUGCUGUGAACUUUGGCUUUACCUGAUAGUAGAGGUCAGGGUUGGGUUCAGGGCCGGAAUGUCGGGUCCAGGAUAAACUUCCUGGAUGUAUUUUUCAGAAAUGCAAGAGUUUGAACUGAAUUCCAGGAAAUAUUGAGAUCUAAUUCCAGGUUUUUGUGUUUGUGUCAGGAGCUAUUGACUCCCUUUGUUUGGGAUAAUGAUGCAGUCUGAAUGUUAGUCGUUUCGUUUGUUCUUUUUGGUUGUUCUCAACCUCUCGCUACACUUUGUUCAGUCACUGCUUUCAUUGGACGUUUAAAGGGCUCUUAAAGCAGUUUAACACGUGUAGAAUGGCAGCAGAUUAUCCUGCAGACGGUCUAACAGCAGCUUUCUCUAACGGGUUCCUGGUUUUACUGGUGCAUAAACUUUAACAGGAGCCAGUUUGAGCAGCAGUGAGUCACAGUGUUUGUUCUCUGCUGGAGGUUUGACUCAUUAAAUCAUUCAGGAUCAAAAACAAGCCUGGAAAUAAUUUGAUUCUCUGAUGUUUCUGUCAGACCUGGAGCUUAGCGAUGAUCACACUGAGCAGUAUGAAUGAAGAUCGCUGACUUUUCACAUUCUCUUUCUGAUCUGGAGCUUUCCUGACUGUAAUUUUCCACCAUCAGCUGCCUCUGGUGUUUACAGCAGCAGGUAGGGAUACAUGUAAUUACUGUAAUAACACGGGGAACUGUGUGUGUUUGGCAGGAUGUCACAGAAUUCUGGAAAUUAAAUUAUAAUUCUAGUAAGUCAUCAUUAUCUAGUGAAGAAGGCACUGAGCCAAAAGUUCUAACAUUCCCAGCUUCACCUCCAGCCCAGCAGUAGAACAUCCAGAGUUAGGGAGGGUCUAAGAGGAACCCUGCAACAGAGUGGUUACCUGUCCAGGUGAAGCUUACUGCGAACACCUGCUGAAGGUCUCAGACUGAUUCCACAACAGUGACAGAAUGGACAUCUUUAAAUGAGCUGAUGGGACGACACUCUCUGACCAGGAAAGCUGGAAUAAGAGUUAAAGUUCUUAAACCUGAAGAUCAGAAUCAGCCCCUCGGACUCCAGUUUAUCUGCUGUUGUUGUUCGUCUCGUGUUGUCGAGGCACAGCUGCUCUCAGUCUGACUCCGUCCUGAAUGGAUUUAUAAUGUGGUAAAAACAGGCUGCUGAGGGGGAGGGUCUAAUGAAUUCCAGCUGCCUGAGGCCAAGCACACGAGGAUGUUGGAUUUCUACACAGCCACAAACAGAAACUGUGACCUGCUGAGUCAAACAUGCUCAACGUUUAACUCCCACCUGAGCAUCAACAAGUUUCUGUCAUCAGAGGAGUUCUUCAGGGUUAGCAAACAGAAACAGACUGACCAGCACGCUGAGCUGCAGCUGUUUAAGGUUUCUCCUUUUGUUUCCUGCUGAUGUCAGAAUAGAUGAUCGCUGGUCUGAAACUGGGCUGCACAGUGGAGUAGUGGUUAGCACUUUCGCCUUGCAGCAAGAAGAUCGAUCCAUCCAUCCUCUAUACACCGCUUUAUCCUCACUAGGGUCAUGGGGGUGCUGGAGUCUAUCCCAGCUGACUCGGGUGAAGGCAGGGGACACCCUGGACAGGUCACCAGUCUGUCACAGGGCUACAUAUACAGACACACAAUCACACUCACAUUCACACCUACGGACAAUUUAGAGUAACCAAUUAACCUCAGCAUGUUUUUGGACUGUGGGAGGAAGCCGGAGUACCCGGAGAAAACCCACACAUGCACAGGGAGAACAUGCAAACUCCAUGCAGAAAGAUCCCAGGCCGGGAUUUGAACCGGGGAUCUUCUUGCUGGGGCUGCACAGUGGGGUACUGCUUAGCACUUUCGCCUUGCAACAAGAAGAUCCCUGGUUCAAAUCCCAGUCUGGGCCUGGGAUAUUCCCCUGCCUUCACCAGAGUCAGCUGGGAUAGGCUCCAGCACCCCCCGCGACCCUAGUGAGGAUAAAGUGGUGGAUAGAGGAUGGAUGGAUGGUCUGAAACUCUUUUGUUUGUUUUAGCUUUUGUACAUUUCAGAGUCUCCUGUUGGUUUUUGCACCACACUGUGAUGCAGAAACAUGAUAUUGAUUCAUUUGCUGGGUUUGAGUUCCUCCUGUUUGGAGGGUUGAUGUCAGUCUGAGACUCAGACGUUCUUCUUUGAACAGUUUCUGUCUGUUGGAUCAGAAGGAGAAGUUCUGCUGUGGUCAGAAAGUUAUUAUUUUUAUUAUUUCUAAAGGUAACACACCAGCAUUAGCUUAGAGGGGAGCUGCAGUGCACAGGUCGCAUUUCCUUAACGGUGUAGUUAGUUUUGGUUGGAGGUUUGGUGAUGUGGCUGACGAUGAUGAUGAGGAGGAGGAGGACAGUGGUGAUGAAGACUCUGGGCCCGCUACAGACCAUCUGUCAAUUUGUCCUGCAGCUCUGUGAUUGGUCGUCCUGCUACUCAAAUCAAAUUUAUUUAUAAAGCACCUUUAAAACCACCACAGUUGACCAAGGUGCUGUACAUAAGCAUAAACAACAAGAUUAAAAAUAAAAAUAAUAAUGAUAAAAACAUUAACUAGGAUAAAAACAGUAAGAAGUAAAAACAGACUGCACAAUAAAAACAAAAACAAUAAAUAGACUAAACAAACUGGACUGCCCCUCCCAGAUAUAUAUGCAUGCACAUGAAAAACAACAAACCUAUGUGGUGUGAAAUGCCAACGAUAAAAGGUGGUUUUAAGAAGGGUUUUAAAGUUAGGCAAUGAGGAGGCCUGUCUAAUGUGGCAGCUCAUUCCAAAGCUUUGGAGCUGCCACAGAAAACGUUUGAUCCCCUCUGAGCUUCAGCCUUGUUUUGGGGAUCCUCAGGAGCAGCUGAUCAGCUGACCUGAGGGAUCGGCUCAGAGUAUGGUGAGACCAUGUAACGAUUUAAAAGCAAAUGAAAGCAUUUUAAACUAGAAAAGCACUCAGAGAGCGCAUACCUCCGCCAGGCGAUCUGUCUGUCUGUCUGUUAACAGCAUAACUCAAAAAGUCACGGACAGAUUUUCACCAAAAUUUUACAGGAUGUCCGGAAGAGCAAAAGUAACAAUCGAUUAGAUUUUGGAGGUGAUCCGGAUCACCGUCUGGAUCCAGGAUUUUUUUGAAGGACUCUGUGAUUGGUCGUCCUGCAGCUCUGUGAUUGGUCGUCCUGAACCUGUGCAGCAGCAGAAGGCGGUAAAAUAAACAGAGGAAGCUGAGGUGGGGGUGGGGAUCAGAGGGGCCCCAGGUCUGUUCACCUCCAGCUGCAGACGAAGACUAAAUGUGAAGCUGUUUCUAUUUGAACACAUUCACAGGAACCAACAGCUGACUGGAAACAGACAAACUCCUGCAACCCUGAAGACUCCACCUAAAGACUGAGUUCACCUGUUCUAAAAUCAGUGUGUAGCACCACCUGGAGACCAGUCAGAGGGAAGAUAGAUGGAAACCCAGAAACUCAGAGUUCAUCUCAGCUUCACCACAGUGAAGUUCAAGGCAGUUUUAGAAAAACUAUUCAGACCCUGUGUUUUUGGAAAAGUAGGAAGAUCGUAGGUCAGAAUACUUUGACACAAGUAAAAAUCCUGCUUUCAGAGGUACAAAGUACUAUCAGUAUACAGUCGAACAGCCAACACCUGAACACGUCCUUAUACUGUGUGUGUAGUCUGUGUACUAUAUGUACAGUGUGUGUACAUUAUGCAGUAAAUGUAUCCAGUGCGUCUACAUUAUGCAGUAAAUGUAUCCAGUGCGUCUACAUUAUGCAGUAAAUGUAUCCAGUGCGUCUACAUUAUGCAGUAAAUGUAUCCAGUGCGUGUACAUUAUGCAGUAAAUGUAUCCAGUGCGUGUACAUUAUGCAGUAAAUGUAUCCAGUGCGUCUACAUUAUGCAGUAAAUGUAUCCAGUGCGUGUACAUUAUGCAGUAAAUGUAUCCAGUGCGUGUACAUUAUGCAGUAAAUGUAUCCAGUGCGUCUACAUUAUGCAGUACAUGUUCCUGCCUCUUCUAUCUGAGUUUUUGUCUGUUUGCUCCCUCUGAUGAAAUCUGUCAGUCAGGCUGAAACGUUUCCACCUCCUGUUGAAAUCUGGUUAAUUUGUGGUGGUCGUGUUUCUGGUGAAGCAGCGGAGCUCAGAAUUCCUGACCCACUUUCCACCACCGCACAUUCCCCAACAUUCCCAAACAUUCCUGAAAGCCAUGAUUGAUAUCAGUGGUCAAUCUGAGCAGAGACAGAUUCAGACUGAAGGUGUUGAGAAGUUCCACAGUGAAACUGGUUCAGGAUCCUCAUUAAAAGAGGAAGUCACUGAGACGGAACUAAGACCGGGUCCUCUGUACUGGACACCUAGAACCUGCUGUAAAGGACAGGAAGUGGACUAAAGGAAAUGUCUUCCAGCCUUGUUUUCAGUUCUAGACCUGUGUUUUGUUUCUUUACUGACGUUUGUUAAGUAAUGUACUGAUUAUUUUAGAGCUUUAAAUCACAUUUUGGUUCAUAUUCAGAGGAAUGAAGAACAUCUAGAACAUUGAAGUAAAUGCCUUUUACUACUUUUCAGAGUAAAUCUUUACAUUAAACUAGAUUUCUGGAAGUAAAGCAUAACAGCAGCUGAUCAGAUGUUGACUGUUGGUUUCUGGUGGUUUGAACAGUUUCUCCUCAUUCUUCUGUCCAUUCUCCUGUCUGUUUGUUCUUCUGUCCGUUCUCCUGACCUGUUCUCUAAUAAACUCAGGUUCAUGUUUGGUGGCUGCAGCUCUGCUCACUUUAACACAAACCUCAAAUGUUGUAGCCAGCCUGAGUUGUAAAAAUGAUUUUGUUUCCUCUGUUCAUAAUUUCUUCUUUUUGAACACCAAUUGAAAAUAAAAUCAGCUCUCAGAUCAGA